CUAAACGACUCUCGGCAACGGAUAUCUCGGCUCUCGCAUCGAUGAAGAACGUAGCGAAAUGCGAUACUUGGUGUGAAUUGCAGAAUCCCGUGAACCAUCGAGUCUUUGAACGCAAGUUGCGCCCGAAGCCUCACGGCUGAGGGCACGCCUGCCUGGGCGUCACGCA
rnacentral:rRNA from 1 species